ACCGACCUCUCUGAGAUAAUUGUUGCUGUGCUGAGGCUGUGACCCAGUUCUCUCACUCAGAGCUUCUUUCUCCUCACCAACUAAAUAAACACAAGUUUCUCCAGCGAGCCGUCUCGGCUCGGCUCUGGCUACCAGCCGAGCGCACAACCCAGCGAUUCUGCAGCAGCCGGCACAAAGAAACAGCUAUCAAACGAGUCGUAUGUGAACAGAAAUAAGGCGACUGCAGCUCCAUUCUGCUCCUGUGAAUGGGAGGAAAGCGUAUUGUUCAGCUGGAGAUAAUGUGCUGACAUAAUAAUGAUUCACUGUGUUUCUGUGUGUCAGAAACAUGCAGUGUAGCAGGGAGGAGGCAGCCGUGCUGAACCAUAUCUCAUGUUUGUGCACUCUUUGUGUCUUUGAAGGAGUUGUGCAGGAGUCUCACAUCGAGCAGCGUGUGAUUACAUUCAUACAAGCUGCAAAGCAAUAAUUAUCAGCUCGUUAGCCGGCCUGACAAGCUCCACAAGCUAACAUUUAACAAUUAGCUUUGGAUAUCUCUGUAUUAUUACCAACAUGACGGGAAAUAUUCUGCUCACAGGCACUUCAGCAACAAACAGGAGGAGGCGGGUUGGUUUGAACUGGUUGUAACCCUUCAAAUUAACAGGAAGAAUUAAUUAAUGUAGAUAUCAGUGCAUGAGGACGACCACGUGUCUGGUAAACUGCAGUUUGGAGUCUGGAGUUAGUGGAACAUUUAAGCUGCUGCAUGGAAUAUUUUUACAGUUUGGCGUUCAGUUAGUGAACUCAUCCACCCAGAGAUCAUCUACCGAGUGGACACAGCAGGAGACCAACACUGAGCUGCCUGUCUUCUAAAAUCAGAUGCCAGCUAACACUGGAGGACCUGAACCACCAGCAGACUGAAAGAAGCUACCAGACCACCAUCACACAUCCCCACGUUACUAUGUUAUCUUAUGACGCAUCAUGUUAGAGCUACGUUAUGUUACGGUGGAGGAUCAGCUUCACAGGCUGUUAUGAGCUCUGAUCCGGAGCAGCGGGAGGAAGAACUCCCCAAAAACAUCAGACGGCGUGCUGUUCCUGCCGCGUCCAGCAGAGAAGCAUCAAACGCUCGCAUCGUAUAGCUGCUGCACCAAACACACGGGGCUGAUGGAUGGAGGAAAAGCUGAAAUGGACUGGCUGCUAAAUCCCAAAAUCACCUUCAGCUGAAGGGAGAGGCCGUGCAGGUUAAAUCAAAGCAGGACUCGUGUAGCAGAGCUCAUUUACCUCCUGCAGGCC